rnacentral:rRNA from 1 species
AGAGUUUGAUCAUGGCUCAGGACGAACGCUGGCGGCGUGCUUAACACAUGCAAGUGGAGCGACGAACCAGGGCUUGCCCUGGGGCAGAGCCGCGAACGGGUGAGUAACACGUGGGUAACCUACCCCGAUGACCGGGACAACCCGAGGAAACUCGGGCUAAUACCGGAUGUUCUCCUUUCUCGUAAGGGAAAUGAGCAAAGAUAGCUUCGGCCUUCACAUCGGGACGGGCCCGCGGCCCAUUAGCUUGUUGGUGGGGUAACGGCCUACCAAGGCGACGAUGGGUAGCUGGUCUGAGAGGACGAUCAGCCACACUGGGACUGAGACACGGCCCAGACUCCUACGGGAGGCAGCAGUGGGGAAUCUUGCGCAAUGGGCGAAAGCCUGACGCAGCAACGCCGCGUGGGGGAAGAAGGCCUUCGGGUUGUAAACCCCUUUCAGUUGGGACGAAGCUUCGAGGGUUAAUAGCCCUCUGGAGUGACGGUACCUUCAGAAGAAGCCCCGGCUAACUACGUGCCAGCAGCCGCGGUA